UGGAAGGCCAAAAGAAAAAAA
rnacentral:piRNA from 1 species